GCGGGGAUAGUUCAGUUGGGAGAACGUCAGACUGAAGUAUAACUUCAUUAUUGUUAAUCUGAAGGUCGUGCGUUCGAUCCGCACUCACCGCA
rnacentral:tRNA from 1 species